rnacentral:rRNA from 1 species
GAUGAACGCUGGCGGCGUGCCUAAUACAUGCAAGUCGAACGGAGAUUGUAGCAAUACAUUCUUAGUGGCGAACGGGUGAGUAACGCGUUGGUGACCUGCCCCGAAGUGUGGGAUAACAGCCCGCAAGGGUUGCUAAUACCGCAUGUGGUUUUUCGGAUUCGAUGCCGAAUUUCUAAAGGAGAAAUUCGCUUCGGGAGGGGCCUGCGUCCCAUCAGCUAGUUGGUAGGGUAAAAGCCUACCAAGGCGAUGACGGGUAGGGGACCUGAGAGGGUGGCCCCCCACAAUGGAACUGAAACACGGUCCAUACACCUACGGGUGGCAGCAGUAGGGAAUAUUGGUUAAUGGGCGAAAGCCUGAACCAGCAACGCCGCGUGUGCGAUGACGGCCUUCGGGUUGUAAAGCACUUUUUGAGGGGAUGAGGAAGGACAGUACCCUCAGAAUAAGUCUCGGCUAACUACGUGCCAGCCGCCGCCGUAACAC